rnacentral:rRNA from 1 species
GUAAGGGAUAUUGCGCAAUGGGCGAAAGCCUGACGCAGCAACGCCGCGUGGAGGAUGACGGCCUUCGGGUUGUAAACUCCUUUGGACGCUGACGAGGAAGGACGGUAAGCGUCGAACAAGUCACGGCUAACUACGUGCCAGCAGCCGCGGUAAAACGUAGGUGGCAAGCGUUAUCCGGAUUUACUGGGCGUAAAGCGUGUGCAGGCGGACUGCCAAGUGGUGUAUGAAAGCGCUCGGCUCAACCGAGCAGGGUUAUGCCAGACUGGUGGUCUUGAGGAGGCGAGAGGGACGUGGAAUUCCGGGUGUAGUGGUGAAAUGCGUAGAGAUCCGGAGGAACCCCCGAGGCGAAGGCGGCGUCCUGGCGCCCUCCUGACGCUCAGACACGACAGCAUGGGGAGCGAACGGGAUUAGAAACCCGAGUAGUCC